AGCGAAGGGUAGUCAUUUGUAUACGUGGAACAUUUAUACAGAGUUACACUCUUCGAAUAGUAUUGCUUCUUCUCGUUGGAGUUGUUUUCUUAUAAGCAGUAGCCUCUAUAUUGCAAGCAACAAUU
rnacentral:snoRNA from 1 species